CAAGUCAAAAAAUACAUGGCUGCACUGGACGGUCGCUGCAAAUACUAGGAUGAUUUUAGCAGAGGUUCUGAAAUGGCGAAGCUGACACACUUUGACAGGCAUCAUAUCAUAGUUUUACACCAACAGGAGGAUAAUCUAAACAUCAUUUUCUUUGCCUGCCUAAGACUUUUGCACAGUUCUGUA